AUACAGGAUUCUGUAUUAUGUCGCGUUAAAACAAUCUGGAAUAUAAAGGAUUCUGGAGUUUAUAAAGUGCAAGAUUUUGUAGAAGUUCAAUUUUUUAAAAAGAGGGCUCAGACAUGGCGACAAGAAUGAAGGUGGAGGGGAAGGAGUGGAGAGAAAGAUGCCUGUCUCCACGUGGUGCGAAAAAGACUACAGGAUUCUGUAUUAUGUCGUGUUAAAACAAUUUGGAAUAUAAAGGAUUCUGGAGGAGUCUAGGAUGGCAAAACUGGGGCGUGAUGGGCAGCAUGAAACAUAACAAAGGUGGAUAUCCGUCAUUUGCCGUCGGAGAGGAAGAAGACGGUAGGCGGGCUCAGAAGAUGACGCAGAAACAGCCGUCGAGCGAGGCGAUUAGCAGAGGCUGCAGCUCCCACAGCUCGCGUUUCUGUUUUGGCAGCGUGCGCUCGCGUGUGGAUGGAGCUCGUACGCCAGGAAGAAUUGGCGUCUCGAUGGAGCUCGUACGCCAGGAAGAACUGGCGUUCGUUGGACCUCGUCCUCGUUCGUGGGUUGCGGAGCUGUUUUUUUAUUGACUGGGGGCUCAGGAGAUGACGCAGAAACAGCCAUCGAGCGAGGCGAUCAGCAGAGGCUGCAGCUCCCACAGCUCGCGUUUCUGUUUUGGCGGCGUGCGCUCGCGUGUGGAUGGAGCUCGUACGCCAGGAAGAACUGGCGUCUCGAUGGAGCUCGUACGCCAGGAA